CAGGCCUAACACAUGCAAGUCGAGCGGAAACGCCGGAGUGCUUGCACUCCGGGCGUCGAGCGGCGGACGGGUGAGUAACGCGUGGGAAUUUACCCUUUGGCGGGGGAUAGCCCGGGGAAACUCGGAUUAAUACCGCAUAAGCCCUUUUGGGGAAAGACGGCCUCUGAUGCAAGCUGUCGCCGAAGGAUGAGCCCGCGUCAGAUUAGCUAGUUGGUGGGGUAAAGGCCUACCAAGGCCGCGAUCUGUAGCUGGUCUGAGAGGAUGAUCAGCCACAUCGGGACUGAGACACGGCCCGAACUCCUACGGGAGGCAGCAGUGGGGAAUCUUGGACAAUGGGCGCAAGCCUGAUCCAGCCAUGCCGCGUGUGUGAAGAAGGCCUUCGGGUUGUAAAGCACUUCCAGCGAGGAAGAAAAGGCAGGUGUUAAUACCACCCUGUUUUGACGGUACUCGCAGAAGAAGCACCGGCUAAUUUCGUGCCAGCAGCCGCGGUAAUACGAAAGGUGCAAGCGUUAAUCGGAAUUACUGGGCGUAAAGGGCGCGUAGGCGGCGCGUUCAGUCGGCUGUGAAAGCCCCGGGCUCAACCCGGGAAUUGCAUCCGAUACUGGCGUGCUAGAGUGCAGUAGAGGGAGGUAGAAUUCCAGGUGUAGCGGUGAAAUGCGUAGAGAUCUGGAGGAAUACCAGUGGCGAAGGCGGCCUCCUGGACUGACACUGACGCUGAGGCGCGAAAGCGUGGGUAGCAAACAGGAUUAGAUACCCUGGUAGUCCACGCCGUAAACGAUGUCAACUAGUCGUCGGGUUCCAUUGAGAACUUGGUGACGCAGCUAACGCGAUAAGUUGACCGCCUGGGGAGUACGGCCGCAAGGUUAAAAC
rnacentral:rRNA from 1 species